rnacentral:rRNA from 1 species
GGAAUCUUCCACAAUGGGGGCAACCCUGAUGGAGCAACGCCGCGUGCAGGAUGAAGGCCUUCGGGUCGUAAACUGCUUUUAUGAGUGAAGAAUAUGACGGUAACUCAUGAAUAAGCACCGGCUAACUACGUGCCAGCAGCCGCGGUCAUACGUAGGGUGCAAGCAUUAUCCGGAGUGACUGGGCGUAAAGAGUUGCGUAGGCGGUUAGUAAAGCGAAUAGUGAAACCUGGUGGCUCAACCAUCAGACUAUUAUUCGAACUCACUAACUCGAGAGUGGUAGAGGUAACUGGAAUUUCUUGUGUAGGAGUGAAAUCCGUAGAUAUAAGAAGGAACACCAAUGGCGAAGGCAGGUUACUGGACCAUUUCUGACGCUAAGGCACGAAAGCGUGGGGAGCGAA